GAUGAACGCUGGCGGCGUGCUUAACACAUGCAAGUCGAACGAUGAAGCCCAGCUUGCUGGGUGGAUUAGUGGCGAACGGGUGAGUAACACGUGAGUAACCUGCCCUUAACUCUGGGAUAAGCCUGGGAAACUGGGUCUAAUACCGGAUAGGAGCGUCCACCGCAUGGUGGGUGUUGGAAAGAUUUAUCGGUUUUGGAUGGACUCGCGGCCUAUCAGCUUGUUGGUGAGGUAAUGGCUCACCAAGGCGACGACGGGUAGCCGGCCUGAGAGGGUGACCGGCCACACUGGGACUGAGACACGGCCCAGACUCCUACGGGAGGCAGCAGUGGGGAAUAUUGCACAAUGGGCGCAAGCCUGAUACAGCGACGCCGCGUGAGGGAUGACGGCCUUCGGGUUGUAAACCUCUUUCAGUAGGGAAGAAGCGAAAGUGACGGUACCUGCAGAAGAAGCACCGGCUAACUACGUG
rnacentral:rRNA from 1 species